UGGGGAAUAUUGGGCAAUGGGCGCAAGCCUGACCCAGCAACGCCGCGUGAAGGAAGAAGGUUUUCGGAUUGUAAACUUCUGUCCUAAGUGACGAAGGAAGUGACGGUAGCUUAGGAGGAAGCCCCGGCUAACUACGUGCCAGCAGCCGCGGUAAUACGUAGGUGGCAAGCGUUGUCCGGAUUUACUGGGUGUAAAGGGCGUGUAGCCGGGUCGGUAAGUCAGAUGUGAAAUCUACGGGCUCAACUCGUAAACUGCAUUUGAAACUGCUGAUCUUGAGUAUCGGAGAGGCAAUCGGAAUUCCUAGUGUAGCGGUGAAAUGCGUAGAUAUUAGGAGGAACACCAGUGGCGAAGGCGGAUUGCU
rnacentral:rRNA from 1 species